rnacentral:rRNA from 1 species
CCUACGGGAGGCAGCAGUGGGGAAUAUUGGACAAUGGGCGAAAGCCUGAUCCAGCCAUGCCGCGUGUGUGAAGAAGGCCUUCGGGUUGUAAAGCACUUUCAGUGGGGAAGAAAGCCUUGGGGCUAAUACCCUCGAGGAAGGACAUUACCCACAGAAGAAGCACCGGCUAACUCCGUGCCAGCAGCCGCGGUAAUACGGAGGGUGCGAGCGUUAAUCGGAAUUACUGGGCGUAAAGCGCGCGUAGGCGGUCUGAUAAGCCGGUUGUGAAAGCCCCGGGCUCAACCUGGGAACGGCAUCCGGAACUGUCAGGCUGGAGUGCAGGAGAGGAAGGUAGAAUUCCCGGUGUAGCGGUGAAAUGCGUAGAGAUCGGGAGGAAUACCAGUGGCGAAGGCGGCCUUCUGGACUGACACUGACGCUGAGGUGCGAAAGCGUGGGUAGCAAACAGGAUUAGAUACCCGGGUAGUC